AGAGUUUGAUCCUGGCUCAGGAUGAACGCUGGCGGCGUGCUUAACACAUGCAAGUCGAACGAACCUUCGGGUUAGUGGCGGACGGGUGAGUAACGCGUGGGAAUCUGCCCUCAGGAGGGGGAUAACGGUUGGAAACGGCCGCUAAUACCCCAUAUGCCGAGAGGUGAAAUGAAUUUCGCCUGAGGAUGAGCCCGCGUCUGAUUAGCUAGUUGGUGAGGUAAGAGCUCACCAAGGCAUCGAUCAGUAGCUGGUCUGAGAGGAUGAUCAGCCACACUGGGACUGAGACACGGCCCAGACUCCUACGGGAGGCAGCAGUGGGGAAUUUUCCGCAAUGGGCGAAAGCCUGACGGAGCAACGCCGCGUGAGGGAUGAAGGCCUCUGGGCUGUAAACCUCUUUUAUCAAGGAAGAAGAUCUGACGGUACUUGAUGAAUAAGCCACGGCUAAUUCCGUGCCAGCAGCCGCGGUAAUACGGGAGUGGCAAGCGUUAUCCGGAAUUAUUGGGCGUAAAGCGUCCGCAGGCGGCCCUACAAGUCUGCUGUUAAAAAGUGGAGCUUAACUCCAUCAUGGCAGUGGAAACUGUUGGGCUUGAGUGUGGUAGGGGCAGAGGGAAUUCCCGGUGUAGCGGUGAAAUGCGUAGAUAUCGGGAAGAACACCAGUGGCGAAGGCGCUCUGCUGGGCCAUCACUGACGCUCAUGGACGAAAGCCAGGGGAGCGAAAGGGAUUAGAUACCCCUGUAGUCCUGGCCGUAAACGAUGAACACUAGGUGUCGGGGGAAUCGACCCCUCCGGUGUCGUAGCCAACGCGUUAAGUGUUCCGCCUGGGGAGUACGCACGCAAGUGUGAAACUCAAAGGAAUUGACGGGGGCCCGCACAAGCGGUGGAGUAUGUGGUUUAAUUCGAUGCAACGCGAAGAACCUUACCAGGGUUUGACAUCCUGCGAAUCUCUUGGAAACUUGAGAGUGCCUUCGGGAGCGCAGUGACAGGUGGUGCAUGGCUGUCGUCAGCUCGUGUCGUGAGAUGUUGGGUUAAGUCCCGCAACGAGCGCAACCCACGUCUUUAGUUGCCAGCAUUUAGUUGGGCACUCUAGAGAGACCGCCGGUGAUAAACCGGAGGAAGGUGUGGAUGACGUCAAGUCAUCAUGCCCCUUACAUCCUGGGCUACACACGUACUACAAUGCUACGGACAAAGGGCAGCAAGUUCGCGAGGACAAGCAAAUCCCAUAAACCGUGGCUCAGUUCAGAUCGUAGGCUGCAACUCGCCUACGUGAAGGAGGAAUCGCUAGUAAUCGCAGGUCAGCAUACUGCGGUGAAUACGUUCCCGGGCCUUGUACACACCGCCCGUCACACCAUGGAAGUUGGCCACGCCCGAAGCCGUUACUCCAACCCUUGUGGAGGAGGACGUCGAAGGUGGGGCUGAUGACUGGGGUGAAGUCGUAACAAGGUAGCCGUACCGGAAGGUGCGGCUG
rnacentral:rRNA from 1 species